GUGGGGAAUCUUGCGCAAUGGGCGAAAGCCUGACGCAGCCAUGCCGCGUGAAUGAUGAAGGUCUUAGGAUUGUAAAAUUCUUUCACCGGGGACGAUAAUGACGGUACCCGGAGAAGAAGCCCCGGCUAACUUCGUGCCAGCAGCCGCGGUAAUACGAAGGGGGCUAGCGUUGCUCGGAAUUACUGGGCGUAAAGGGCGCGUAGGCGGACCGUUUAGUCAGAGGUGAAAGCCCAGGGCUCAACCUUGGAAUUGCCUUGGAUACUGGCUGUCUUGAGUACGGGAGAGGUGAGUGGAACUCCGAGUGUAGAGGUGAAAUUCGUAGAUAUUCGGAAGAACACCAGUGGAGAAGGCGACUCACUGGCUCGAUACUGACGCUGAGGUGCGAAAGCGUGGGGAGCAAACAGGAUUAGAAACCCUAGUAGUCC
rnacentral:rRNA from 1 species